GUUUUAAUAGUUUAAAAAAAAAAACAUUGGUCUUGUAAAUCAAAAUUAAGAAAUUCUUUUAAAACA
rnacentral:tRNA from 1 species